rnacentral:rRNA from 1 species
CCUACGGGUGGCAGCAGUGGGGAAUAUUGGGCAAUGGGCGAAAGCCUGACCCAGCAACGCCGCGUGAAGGAAGAAGGCUUUCGGGUUGUAAACUUCUUUUGACAGGGAAGAGCAGAAGACGGUACCUGACGAAUAAGCCACGGCUAACUACGUGCCAGCAGCUGCGGUAAUACGGAGGUGGCAAGCGUUGUCCGGAUAUACUGGGUGUAAAGGGCGUGUAGCCGGGCUGACAAGUCAGAUGUGAAAUCCGGGGGCUUAACCCACGAACGGCAUAUGAAACUGUUGGUCUUGAGUAUGGGAGAGGCAGGCGGAACUCCAAGUGUAGCGGUGAAAUGCGUAGAUAUAAGGAGGAACACCAGUGGCGAAGGCGGCCUGCUGG